CGCAAGAGGGACACAGAACUACUGAAGUGAGUUCAGAGGAGAGCUACUAAGAUGAUUAGAGGAUUGCAACACCUGUCAUACAAGGACAGGCUGAAAGAACUGGGCCUGUUUAGCCUGGAAAAGAGGAGACUGAGUAGAGACCUCAUCAACAUAUAUAAAUAUCUGAGGGGAGGGUGUCAAGAGGAUGGAGCCAGUCUCUUUUCAGUUGUGCCUAGUGACAGGACAAGAGGCAAGGGGCACAAAUUGAAGCACAGUAAGUUCUGGCUCGGUAUGAAGGGGCACUUCUUUACUGUAAGGGUGACGGAGCACUGUAA